GAUGAAUGCUGGCGGCGCGCCUAACACAUGCAAGUCGAGCGGAAAGGCCCUUCGGGGUACUCGAGCGGCGGACGGCUGAGUAACGCGUGGGAACAUGCCCCAAAGUGAGGAAUAACUGCCCGAAAGGGUAGCUAAUACCGCAGAUGAUCUUCGGAUUAAAGGAUUUAUCCGCUUUGGGAGUGGCCCGCGUACGAUUAGGUAGUUGGUGAGGUAAAGGCUCACCAAGCCUACGAUCGUUAACUGGUCUGAGAGGAUGAUCAGUCAGACUGGAACUGAGACACGGUCCAGACUCCUACGGGAGGCAGCAGUGAGGAAUCUUCCACAAUGGGCGAAAGCCUGAUGGAGCGACGCCGCGUGCAGGAUGAAGGCCUUCGGGUUGUAAACUGCUAUUAUAAGUGAAGAAUAUGACGGUAACUUAUGAAUAAGCACCGGCUAACUACGUGCCAGCCGCCGCCGUAAUAC
rnacentral:rRNA from 1 species